CUAGUACUCACUCCGUCCGAAAAAGCUUGUCCCAAGCUUGUUUCUCAAAUGGAUGUAUCUAGCACUAACUUGGUGCUAGAUACAUCUAUUUGAGGGACAAGCCUUUUCGGACGGAGGGAGUAGUAC
rnacentral:pre_miRNA from 1 species